AUUGAACGCUGGCGGCAGGCUUAACACAUGCAAGUCGAGCGCGCGGCGGACGGGUGUGUAAUGUCUGGGAAACCGCCUGAUGGAGGGGGAUAACUACUGGACACGGUCGCUAAUCCCGCAUACUAUCAGGUGUGCCCAGAUGGGAUUAGCUAGUAGGUGGUCUAAUGGCUCACCUAGGCGACGAUCCCUAGCUGGUCUGAGAGGAUGACCAGCCACACUGGAACUGAGACACGGUCCAGACUCCUACGGGAGGCAGCAGUGGGGAAUAUUGCACAAUGGGCGCAAGCCUGAUGCAGCCAUGCCGCGGGUGUGAAGAAGGCCUUCGGGUUGUAAAGCACUUUCAGCGAGGAGGCGUUACUCGCAGAAGAAGCACCGGCUAACUCCGUGCCAGCAGCCGCGGUAAUUC
rnacentral:rRNA from 1 species